GGAAUUUUGGACAAUGGGGGAAACCCUGAUCCAGCAAUGCCGCGUGCAGGAUGAAGGCCUUCGGGUUGUAAACUGCUUUUGUACGGAACGAAAAGACUCUUUCUAAUAAAGAGGGUCCAUGACGGUACCGUAAGAAUAAGCACCGGCUAACUACGUGCCAGCAGCCGCGGUAAUACGUAGGGUGCAAGCGUUAAUCGGAGUUACUGGGCGUAAAGCGUGCGCAGGCGGUUAUGUAAGACAGAUGUGAAAUCCCCGGGCUCAACCUGGGAAUUGCAUUAGUGACUGCAUAGCUAGAGUGCGGCAGAGGGGGAUGGAAUUCCGCGUGUAGCAGUGAAAUGCGUAGAUAUGCGGAGGAACACCGAUGGCGAAGGCAAUCCCCUGGGCCUGCACUGACGCUCAUGCACGAAAGCGUGGGGAGCAAACAGGAUUAGAUACCCGAG
rnacentral:rRNA from 1 species